ACGUGUUAGGAUAACAGUGUUAAAUGGGUGGAUUCGAAUAAAUUUUGAUGGGUGAAAUCAGCGAAGGGUCUUCUCAAAAGCUUGAAGAAAACAAUAUAAUGGAUUAUAGCCAACAAAACUCAAACUAAUUUUUUAAUUGUUUGCUGUUUUCUAAUAAUUUAUUUAACUACUAAAGUAAAGUAAUAACCUUUUUCUUUAUUAAGGAUAUCUAGCAUACCAAAUAAAAGAAAAAGUUAAACAUCUUGCCAUGUUUUAUAUGAGUCAAUUUACAGUAAAUACCUAGCCAAAUCAGUUUGAUUGAAUUGUGUCCAAUUGACUCUCCAUGAGUAUAUACACAGUCAAACCUGUCCAAACUUGAAUAAAUUUAAUAAAUUAUUCCAAAAAAAAAAAAAAAAAAACUCAAGUGACAAGUUUACGUGCCAACUCUAUGAUCUUGGUGCCCCAACACCUGAGCCUCUAGAAAAUUGGCCAAUGAAUAUUGUGCUCAUACGCAAAUGCAGGCAAAACUUUCCACAUGCUGCAAGAAGAAAAUGAACUUGUAAACGACCAUUUUAACUAUGCUCACAAGAGUAUAUAAACUAAUAAUUGCAUAACAACACCAUUACACUAAGUCUAGUAAAUGAUUUAUGUUGGUGGUGAUUGGUAAUUUUGGAUAGUGAUGGAAGAAGAAUGGUUAUUGUGGUGAGUUAGCAUGCUAUGCUAGGUGACUAAAAUGGAAGGAGUUACGGAGGAGGGAUAAAUUUGAAUCACUUGUAUAAAGUUAGAUGCAUAUAUAGACCAAAAGUAUAAUAGAGGACAAUAUUAAACAUUUUUCACUAGUAAGGGGUCAAAUAUGACACUUUUGCCACAGAUAAAUUAUUUCCCCUCUUUAUAAGGUAGUACCGUAGUAACAAUGUGCGUCUAACUUGCCGCCAAAGUUUAAACAAACUUAAGUGACCAAAACCUAAACAGAUAGCUUAAAAUUUGAACCCUAAAUUCUCAUCUAAAAAUAUAGAGAUUUUCUGGGUAAAAAUCUCUUCCUGUAACAAAUUAAUUGUUGAAUUUGGGAUAAUGAAAGUUCAUUCCUUUUUGUGUUUUAUUUGCAAUAUUUUAUCCUUUUUUUCCUGUUGUCAGGAGGAGUGAUUUUGCUAUUGCUUAAAGUGGGAGGAAUUGCUCUUUCGAUGAAUUAUUUCGGGAAAAGACCGACAAGUAAAAAAAAAAAAAAAGCUUUAGCAGAUCAGGAAAAUUUAUGUCUCGCACUUCCCAUGAUGCAUCCAUCAAGCAAUCCAAGCAAAUUCCUGGCACCAGCCGAAGGAGACAUGCAGCAACGCCCAUGCUUUCGAGUUAGGUCAGAGCAGGACUUCUCCAAUACGUCGCUUGGAUUCUCGGCACCUGCCGGAGGAAACAUGCAGCAAUAAUGCCCAUGCUUUCGAGUUAGUUCGGCGCGAGACUUCUCCAAUCUGUCGCUUCUACAACUGAGUGAUUCCCCUUAUACUAUCUACCUCGAGCCCGAUAAUGCUGAUAUUUUUAACAAGUUAAGUCGAUUUAGGAGAGAUUAUCCCAACCUGGUCGUACUUCCCCGAGUAGGCACGAAGUAGCUACAACCAACCCCCUAACAAGCAUAAUACGAGUAAUUGGCUCUCUAACAAGAUUAAUGGGAAGAAUCGACUUUCUAGAAAUAUUAAUAGGAGGAAUCCCUAAUAUAAUAUUGAGUUUGGCAAUUUUAAAGUGGGUUAACAAUGAAGCACGAAUAUGCUUGAACAUAGGUUGUUCGAGUCACCGGAGAAGGCAGUGAAGCUCAAAAGAGAAGAAAACAAAGUGAAAAGGGAUUGAGCCCUAUUUUUUAUGAUAAAUGGGCUACAACUUGUCUUUAUACAACGGAGCACGAAUAAACUUAGACACUGAUUUACUUAGUAUUAGGAGUUUGUUUAGGUGAGUCAGUCGUUUGUGCUUGGUUUAUGAAUUUGUUCAGGAUGUGUGCUGAACCAUGGGAUAAUGAAACAUAUUAGAAUGUUUGUUUUUGGCAAUUUGAAUUGUAGUCUAAUGCUCAAAGCUAUGAAGUAUAUUAGUCGUUUGUA